CCAGCCUGCCAGUGACUACAAGUUCAACGGCCGCGGUAUUUUGACCGUGCAAAGGUAGCGCAAUCACUUGUCUUUUAAAUGAAGACCUGUAUGAAUGGCCAAACGAGGGCUUAGCUGUCUCCCCCAUCAAGUCAGUGAAAUUGAUCUAUCCGUGCAGAAGCGGGUAUUUAUAUACAAGACGAGAAGACCCUUUGGAGCUUAAGGUACAAACCCACCUACGUUAAACAGCUUUCUAAACAAGCAUAAACCUAAUAGAACAUGGAGUUUUACCUUCGGUUGGGGCGACCACGGAGAACAAAAAAUCCUCCAAGUGGACUGGGAACUUCCCUAAAACCAAGAAAGACAUUUCCAAGUCACAGAAAAUCUGACCAAACAUGAUCCGGCCACCCAGGCCGAUCAACGGACCAAGUUACCCUAGGGAUAACAGCGCAAUCCCCUCCAAGAGUCCAUAUCGACGAGAGGGUUUACGACCUCGAUGUUGGAUCAGGACAUCCUAAUGGUGCAGCCGCUAUUAAGGGUUCGUUUGUUCAACGAUUAAAGUCCUACGUGAUCUGAGUUCAGACCGGA
rnacentral:rRNA from 1 species